rnacentral:ncRNA from 2 species
GUAGGCUGCUGGGGGUGCCCUCGAUGACCCGCUGUCGCUGAAGCUUUGGUGUCUGGAGCCUGACCGGCUCAACCGAGGUUCCAUCGACAGCUUGCGUGGCGGGCUGAGAAAAGACCCUUUGAACCUGAUCCGGGUCAUGCUGGCGCAGGAAAGCAGGCGAAUGAAAUG